rnacentral:lncRNA from 10 species
GGAAAAUUCGGGUACUAUCUAAAGGUCCAAUAAUAAAGUAAUGUAGUAGGGCAGGUAAAUUAAUAAUAGUAAAGUAAGUUUGAGGAUAGCCAUAUAUUGGAUAUAUGCCAUUUAAAUGAUGGAAAAUGUUUGAAAUGAUAUUGAUUAAAAUUAGUAAUGCAAAAAGGUUCAUAGAGCAUGGUCCAGGUGAGGCCAGGCACAGAGCACUCAGUCAUCUGCUCCCAGUGGCAUCGUGAGCAAAGUUUCUUUUUCCUAGCAAAAAUGUGUGAUAUGAAGUAUGGAAUAUCUUUGGGAGGCCGAGGCGGGCGGAUCACUUGAGGUCAGGAGUUCAAGACCAGCCUGGCCAACAUGGUGAAACCCCAUCUCUACUAAAAAUACAAAAAAAUUUAGCCAGGCAUGGUCAUGGGUGACUGUAAUCCCAGCUACUCGGGAGGCUGAGGCAGGAGAAUCACUUGAACCAGGGAGGCGGAGGUUGCAGUGAGCCGAGAUCGUGUCCAGCCUGGGCAACAAGAGUAAAACUCUGCCUUAAAGAAAAAAAAAAAAAAAAAACCUCGCUCCAUGGUCAAAUAAAUUUGGGAAACACUGCGUUCAGAUAUGCAAACAUGUGUCUUCACUGAGUGACUUCUCAGUCUUUUAACACAGUAAUGGUUCUGUCCCCUCCUUCCGCCUGCAGAUAUAUGAUGUUGAAGAAUUUUUCUCUCUCUCUUUGGCAGGGGCUGUUCUGCUUGCUGGAUUGGAAAUGAUUUUAGCCCCUCAUGC